rnacentral:rRNA from 1 species
CAGCCGCCGCGGGAAUACGAAGGGUGCAAGCGUUAAUCGGAAUUACUGGGCGUAAAGCGUGUGUAGGCGGUGAGUUAAGUCUGCUGUGAAAUCCCCGGGCUCAACCUGGGAAUGGCAGUGGAUACUGGCUCGCUAGAGUGUGUCAGAGGAUGGUGGAAUUCCCGGUGUAGCGGUGAAAUGCGUAGAGAUCGGGAGGAACAUCAGUGGCGAAGGCGGCCAUCUGGGACAACACUGACGCUGAGGCACGAAAGCGUGGGGAGCAAACAGGAUUAGAUACCCCCGUAGUCCCUGUCUCUUAUAC